UAGUCUCUUCUGUAGUUGUCAGGGUUCUCCAGAGAAACAGAAACAGAAGCAAUAGGAGAUAUAUCUCUUAUUACAUUAAGUCUCCUAUUGCUUCUGUUUCUCUGGAGAACUCUAAUACAUAAAAGAUUAUGAUUAGAAUUAUGCUUGAAGAAGGUUAAUCUUAUAAUGGCAUGCAGAGCGGAGCUGGGCAAGGCCAGAGGCUAAAUAUGGAGCCAGAAAGAUACUGCAGAAAGUGAGCAAAAAGGAUGAGUGGAUGGCCUGGGGUGGAAUCCGUGAAAAAGGGCAGAUUGUCAGUCUCAGGAAAUCAACAGGACUGAGUUCUAACUUCAGCUGGGCUACUAUGCCCUGGGGAAUCAGAAGAUUCUCCCUAACAUUGGAGUCCAAAGAAGAGGAGCCACCAUCUCCUUAACUACAAAACAACUGAGAGAAGAAAUGUCUCCCUUUAGUGCCAGUGAAGAGUUUUGCUUCUCUAGAACAACUGUUUAUUUUUGAUCUUAUGAAACGCGUGACACUUGUAACUGAUUUGCCUUCUUUUUGCUUGCUGCUAGAAAUCUCAGAACCAAAUUCGAGGUCAUUUCUGAAUGUGCUGGACUACACAGCAUGAAUUCUGUGUCCUCUCACCUCAUUCAUAGAUACAUUUUUUUAUUCCUACCCAUCUUUUCCUUUCCCCAGAUUUUCCUAUUGCUCUUUUAUCAUCUUGAGUAAAGAAGGUUAAACUAUGAAUAAAAAGUACAAUCUCAAUGACGAGUCAGGGAAAAGUAAGUUUUGGACUUCCAUUUAGAGCCAUUUAUAGGUCAGCAAUCUUUUGUCUCUGUGUCUUCUUUCUGCCCUGAACAACCAAGGCAUCCUAGUCAGUCUCUCUUCAUCUGCAUACCACUUUAAAGAGCCCAGGGGUCUUCCAAGUACAGUCACUACUAAGAAAAUGUCUUCAGUAAAUUUUUUUUUUUUUUUUUUGAGAUGGAGUCUCGCUCUGUCGCCCAGGCUGGAAUGUAGUGGCACGAUCUCAGCUCACUGCAAGCUCUGCCUCCCGGGUUCACGCCAUCCUCCUGCCUCAGCCUCCCAAGUAGCUGAGACUACAGGCACCUGCCACCAUGCCCGGCUAAUUUUUUUUGUAUUUUUAGUAGAGACGGGGUUUCACUGUAUUAGCCAGGAUGGUCUUAAUCUCCUGACCUCAUGAUCCGCCCGCCUCGGCCUCCCAAAGUGCUGGGAUUACAGGCGUGAGCCCCCGCGCCCAGCCUUCAGUAAAAUUUUAAUGCAUGUUGCUUAUCAUUCUUUGUAUUGUAAGCACCAAUCCUUAAUCUGUGCUGUGGUUUUUGUUCAGAAACAUUUCUUUAAAAAAAUUUCCCCAGACGCUCAGCCUUCAUAUUCUAAUCUUUAUUAUUCUGAACUACCUACAAAGCUAAAUAUACCUUGUCUACAUGCAGUGCUUAUGUAACAAUGGUGCUUAUUUUGUUUUACAUUGCUUCAACCUCUGACCAGAAACUUAGAGGACAGAAUGCCCUGCUUUUACAAAAAAUGUGGUGACCACAACGGUAACCUUAUCUAAUUGAGACCAUUUUAGGAAGGAGGGGAGGAGAUAUUUUUACUGCAAAGACUGAGUCAUAAGCCUUCAUUUUUUACCCUGGGUUGUGCAGAAACUUUAAACUUUCUAUAUUAUUUCAUUUCUUCCAUACCAGGACAUUUAUUUCCUAUUCAGUGACAAUCUUGAUGUCUUCAUCCUUCAAACUGCUCUCUAACAUAGUUUCAAAAUCCAAGCAUUAAACAUUAUUAAUGCUCAGGGGAUGAAUAUGUUCAUUACCUUUACUGUAGUGAUGAUUUCCUAUGGCAAAAUGUUAAAUGAUGUAAAGAUAAAAAUAAUUAUCAUAGUUAUUAAUCAUAGCAAUAAAACUGGACUACCUAAAGCACAGUUUAUGGUAUAAUAUUUAUGAAUUAAGAGCAACACAAAUAAUAAUGUUAAUUGCUCACCUACAGAUGAAUGCAAAUGAGGAUAUAACAGAGUCGAAAUAAACUAAGCAAAGGAAACAAUGUUUCAUAGCUAUCGUGUUCAUUAUUCUAACCAAAAAAAAGAACACAGAAAUCAGAUAUAUGCAAUAGGGUACACUGAAAUGAUUCUCAAUGAUUAUAUAAAACAUAUAUACAUUAUUUUCUCAACUUCCUGAAACAUCAAUUCUCUUGCUCAUAAUGUAGUUAAAUCGUCUAAGAUUAGCCUCAUGUGACCAUGUUUGGACUUCUUAAAAAAAUCGCUUCAGGAACAUUACAUUUUCAUGAUCAGAUAGUUUCCUGAAAGUAUUAAACAAAACUAGGAAAAGUGUUUAAUAGUUAUUUGGAUUACAUUUCAUUAAAAAUCUUUACGAUCUCUGUUAACAGUCCAGUACAUUUGAAUGUUAAGGAGGACCCUGCACUGAAGGUUUUAUAAUGCUUUAUCUAUUCCAAGUUAUACAACACAAAAAUUUUCUCAAACAAGCACAUGUGACUUUGCCUACAUCUGCAUUUAAGAUUCUAAUGUACAUUUUUUUAUUCUUUUGUUUAAAUUAUUAACUAUCAACACUAGAAUUGAGCAUGGUAUGUAUUCAGAAUUAUGUUCAAGUAAUUAGUGGCUAUUUUGUUAAUAAAGAUGAAGCUUCAAUUGUAGAUUUGAUAAUUUUACCCUAAAAUUUUUAAAUAUAUAAAAAAUAGCAUUUUUUAAAACUAUAAUGGUAAGGCAAAAUGUUCUCAUCAGAUUCGGUGGGCAGAUGGGACAGGGAACACAGCUUUCCUGAACCUGGAACUCACAGUUCUGCCACGCAGCUAUAGCAAAA
rnacentral:lncRNA from 10 species